UCUCCGUUGGUGAACCAGCGGAGGGAUCAUUACCGAAGUUACCUUCAAAACCCACUGUGAACCUUACCUCUUGCCGCGUUGUCUCGGCGGGAGGCGGUGUGCGUCGCGCGCCCUAGCGGGCCGCGCCGCUCCCGUCCCCGCCGGCAGCGCCAAACUCUAAGUGCACAGCGGACUGUACGUUCUGAUUUACAAAAAAAAACAAGUUAAAACUUUCAACAACGGAUCUCUUGGUUCUG
rnacentral:misc_RNA from 1 species